AGCGGGGUGGAGCAGUAGGUAGCCGCUUCGGCGGUCCGAUCGUGGGUCUCAUAAGCCCGAGGUCGCCGGUUCGAGUCCGGCCCCCGCUACCA
rnacentral:tRNA from 1 species